GAGGUUGUGGUGUAACGGCAGCACUGCGGACUUUUAAUCCGCCAGGUGAGAGUUCGAAUCUCUCCGGCCUCAC
rnacentral:tRNA from 1 species